rnacentral:rRNA from 1 species
AUGCAGUCGAGCGGACAGAAGGGAGCUUGCUCCCGGAUGUUAGCGGCGGACGGGUGAGUAACACGUGGGUAACCUGCCUGUAAGACUGGGAUAACUCCGGGAAACCGGAGCUAAUACCGGAUAGUUCCUUGAACCGCAUGGUUCAAGGAUGAAAGACGGUUUCGGCUGUCACUUACAGAUGGACCCGCGGCGCAUUAGCUAGUUGGUGGGGUAAUGGCUCACCAAAGGCGACGAUGCGUAGCCGACCUGAGAGGGUGAUCGGCCACACUGGGACUGAGACACGGCCCAGACUCCUACGGGAGGCAGCAGUAGGGAAUCUUCCGCAAUGGACGAAAGUCUGACGGAGCAACGCCGCGUGAGUGAUGAAGGUUUUCGGAUCGUAAAGCUCUGUUGUUAGGGAAGAACAAGUACGAGAGUAACUGCUCGUACCUUGACGGUACCUAACCAGAAAGCCACGGCUAACUACGUGC